rnacentral:rRNA from 1 species
AACAUCUUCUGAGUCUAAUAUCUUAGGUAAAGCCUGCUCACUGAUUUAAAGAGCCGCAGUAUCCUAACUGUGCUAAGGUAGCAUAAUCAUUAGUUACUUAAUUUGUAACUAGAAUGAACGGCCCGACAAAAGAAUAACUUUAUUAUUUUUUUUGUUAAAUUAAUCUAAGAAUAAAAAAGUUCUUAUAAAUUAGAAAGACGAUAAGACCCUAAAACCUUAUAUAUAAAUAUUUUACUGGGGUGGUAAUUUAUUCUCCAUAAGUUAAAAUAACAUUAUGAAUGAUAUUAUCUAUUUAAUUAAUUCAAAAAGGUACUUUAGGGAUAACAGCAUAAUUUUUAUUUAGAGUUCUUAUCGACAUAAGAGAUUAUGACCUCGAUGUUGAAUUGAUUUAACUAUUUUAGGCAGCCCUCAAAUUAGUAGGUCUGUUCGACCUUUAAAUGAUCACGUGAUC